ACAUUAGAUGAUGCUCAAAGAACAAAAUUGGUUGAUCAGCAUAUGAAACUUUUAGCUGAGGAGUUCAGUUACUUGGAGUAUCUUGGUUGCCAGGCCAGCUGCUUACUGGUGAAUAGAAAAAAGAACUUUAUGUCCUUGGUUUAUCAGGAGGAAAAAGAUUUGUUCACAAUGAACCAGCAGUUUUGUGCAAGUUUCAAGCAAUGUUUGAUGUAGACCGAGAAAAACAGAAAUGGACUCAUGAGGAUGUAAGA